rnacentral:piRNA from 2 species
UGGAGCCAAUGACACACCUUUGGGACUAGGC